rnacentral:rRNA from 1 species
AUGACGAGAUGUAUGCAGCAGAUAGUAUUUGGUCGCGAAGGAAAAGCAGGAAUCGAGAACACGAGGCCAAAACUAAGAAAUGGAUGUCGUGAUCCAGAGUGUGAUGCCAAGCACUGGUUGUGUAAAUGGCAUGUGUUGAAGAAGUUUUGGUUCGACUCAGCAACACUGAAAUUGCAACCAUAUGCCGAGAGGGGAGAUGUGCUAGGACUGGAAGAUCGUCUCGCAGAAAAUGGAGCAAUGGUGCAGAUCAGAACCGCGCGAUGGAGGUUGCCAUACAAAAUGUUAUGCCUCAGAGAGUGCAUCGAUGAGGUGGGUGGCACCAAAGAAGCAGAAAGAGAUGGGGCGCCCAACAACUACCAGGUGAAGGCACCGUACGAGGGGCUCAACAAAAAGAGGUUCUGCACGAUAUGUCGUCAGCAGGGACACAAGAGAACAACCUGCCCAGACCGGGGUGAUAUUAUGAAGCCUGUUUGCAAACCAGCAAGGUGCAAAAACUGUGGCAUUGAAGGGCACAUGCGAAACAAUUGCCAUGGAGUGGGUGAUCUAGGGAUGAACGCCCUCUGA